UGGGGAAUUUUGCACAAUGGGGGAAACCCUGAUGCAGCGACGCCGCGUGAUUUAGAAGGCCUUCGGGUUGUAAAAAUCUUUUCUAUGGGAAGAAAAUGACAGUACCAUAGGAAUAAGGACCGGCUAAUUACGUGCCAGCAGCCGCGGUAAUAUGUAAGGUCCGAGCGUUGUCCGGAAUCAUUGGGCGUAAAGGGUACGUAGGCGGGUAAGCAAGUUAGAAGUGAAAUCCUAUAGCUCAACUAUAGUAAGCUUUUAAAACUGCUCAUCUUGAGGUAUGGAGGGGAAGGUGGAAUUCCUAGUGUAGCGGUGAAAUGCGCAGAUAUUAGGAGGAAUACCGGUGGCGAAGGCGACUUUCUGGCCAUAACCUGACGCUGAGGUACGAAAGCGUGGGUAGCAAACAGG
rnacentral:rRNA from 1 species